UCAAGACAGUGUGGUAUAAUCCUCAGGACCUGCGGCCCAUGGGGGAGAAACUCCCACCCUUCGCUCCUUCUAAGAUGGCUCCGCUCUACUUGUGAGGCUGAAGCUCGGUUACAUAAUGGAAAUGAAGGCCAUCAGCAAACUUAGUUUUACUUUCGUAGCCUCCAAAGCACUAAAUUGUACCUACUGUACUCCAAGGAAACACAGAAGGUAUUUUAAAAGCUACUAAAACAUUCCCAAGUAAUUCUGAGUUUUUGUCAGCUGUUUGAUGGUCUGUUUAAACGUGGUUUCCAUUGUUUUUACUCAAGUUUUCAGCUCAAAUCCACUUAAACAUCUGGGUACAGAGUUUGCGAGCAAGUUAUAUAAACUGUUAAGGAAAAACCUAGAGUCUUAUAAACCAGAUUCUAUUUUUAACUCCUUCCGAGGAACUAUUUUUGCUUCCCUCACAAAGGCGGCGGAGGGUUAUUGGAUGACGGGGGUGUGAGGUGUCCUUGGGCUAUAAAUACGCCGCGCGCUGCGGGUCGGGAGGCCGGCAUUGAGGCAGCGAGCGCAGAGGCGGCUGAGAGGCAGGAAACGCUUCUUGAGGAGACUGCAGAUAAGUUUUUCCGCUAAAAUAGGGAUUAUUCUUAUUCUCUAGGAAUUAUAAAUUAGCGAAAAUACUGAGCUGUAGUUUUGAGUUAAAUUCGUGAGAGUAGAUUUGAUAAUUAACAAGAAGGUCUUAUUUUAGGGGAAAAUGGAGACGUCCUUAAAAAAUAGUAUGAGAAAGGAAGAAAGAAGAAAAAAGAUAAUAUUAGAACAUGACGGAGGUUAAGAGCUGAAGCUUCUUCAUGGAGUGAGAAAGCUAAUUUUAAAAGGAGUUGCCGAGACAGGACUGCAAAGUAUGGAAUUUUAAAGUCUUAAAUUGAAGGGUAGCUUUUUAGAUUAUUGUUCAAACGUAAUGCUAUAAAUAGAACCUAAACAAUAUUUUUAAAGUCGAGUCGUAGAUGGAUUAAAAUGUUUUAAAAGCCAUCUUUAAAGGUCAGUUGAAGGUGAUUUAAGAAAUGCCUUCAAAUUCACGGCGCGAUCAAAAACUGCGUCAUUUGAAGCCUUAAGGCUUUCUUUGGAAGUUGAUGCAAGUAUUAGUGGAGAAAGAAGAUUAGAAAUUUGAAGUGGAAAACUCGGAAGACAAGUACAGGAAGGUGAAGAAAAGAUUAGCGAAGAUAGGAAAACUAGAAGAUAAAAAAUACGGCUUUUAGAAGACAGAAAAAAACUAAGCCCAGAAGGUAGGAGGCAGAAGACAUCUAGAAAGAGAAGGUUGAAAAGAUGUUCGAAUGUUUGAGGUAGAAAAUGAGAAACAAGCUGUUGGAGACAAGCAUACAAGAUAGAGGUCCAAGUAAUUGGAAGAUAGAAAAGUCCGAAGCCAAAAAAUUGGAUAAGUACAAGACGCAAAACUAAGAAAAAUAAUUUUUAAUAGUUAAAUUUAUUUAAAAAGCCCAUCAACUUUAAUUUGUGGUGGUGCAGAAGUUAGAUCUGAGAAGAGGGUUUUAAACUACUGUAGACCAAGACCAACUUAGAAGAAUAUCUCGAAGCUAUAGAGAGAAGUAAAUUUAAAAUCACAGCAAAAAGCUACUAAAAAGACUGAUGUAAAAAUUAAGGUAGACGGAAGAGUUAAAAAUUUGAAAGGCCUUAAAUCCAUACAGUAGUUUAGUUUCUUCUGGAAAACUUAAAGGACGAUAAAUUCAAGAGCGAGGAUAACCAAGUUAACAUUUUUUGCAUUGGACUUUGAGCUAAGAUGAAUUUCUAAACCCUGAGGACUAGGCGCUAAUUAACAGCUGACCAGGUGCUACACAGAAGUGGAUUCAGAGAACCUAGGAAGACAGCAGCAGACAGGAUUCCAGGAGCCAGUUUUUGGUGAAACUAGGACUGAGGAGCGAGCGGCAGUUCGUGAAGAUAGGAAGGAGGAGCCCGGGAGCCAGUGCGAUUUGGUGAAGGAAGCUAGGAAGAAGGAAGGAGCCCUAACGGUUGGAGGUGAAGCUAGGAGAGGAUUCCAGGAAGGAGGAAGCCAGUGCGAUGUGGUGGUGAUGAAGCUAGCGUGCGGCUUGGCGGCGUGGCUUGGCAACCCCGCGGAGGAGGCGAGCAGGCGGUGUGGAGGCUAGAUAGAGCGUCCUAGAGCGGCAGCCCAGUGUGCAAGGCCGGCAGGGAGAGCCAGUGGUGUGGUAAAAAUCCGUGAGGUCGGCAGUAUCGUGGGUUCUGCUUUGUUUCUUCACCUUUUUUUGGUAACAGUACGUUAAUCUUUGUUGAAUUUCCUAAUGGUGAUGGGGGAGCUGUGUACUUAAGCAUAAAGGGUUUUAUGGGGAUGUAGGCCGAUUUUCGGGUGUUGUAGGUUUCUCUUUUUCAGGCGUAUUUUCUCAUCUUGUCUGAAGCUUUUGAGGGCAGACUACCAAGGCCCGGAGGAAUAGUAGAUGGCAAGUGUUUUCGUUUUUAACCAAUAUGAGGGAAAACAAAUGAAUUUGAUAGAACAACCUUGAGACAGUUUCAGCCAGCUUUUGUAAGCAGGUUUUAUAUUUAGCUUGGUAAUGAAGCAUUUCCGUUUUGUGAGUAGAUGACUUAUUUUUCUUUCUCAUUCUCUAUUCUAAGUUACCUAUAUAUAUAUAUAGUUGGGUGUGUAAUUCGGGGGGGCAAAGGUUUUGGGGGGGGCAAAAUAUGUUUUGAGUUCUUUUCCCCUUAGGUCUGUCUAGAAUUCCAAAGGCAAAUGACUCAAGGUAACAGGAAAAAAGAAAAUCCAGUAUCAGGAUAAUCAGAACACCACAGGUUUACAGUUUGUAGAAACUAGAACACGAGCAGCUCUCACUUAAGGUCUGUGAUGGAACUCCAGUGGAGAAAUGGCUGGUACUUUUUCCACCCCUUAAUCAGAUUUUUUUUUUAAUUAAAGUAUGUAACCGGUUAUUUUUACUUGAAGUAUUUUGGGGUGGUCUUAACAGGGAAGAGGGUGGGGGAGAAAAUGUUUUUUUCUAAGAUUUUCCACAGAUGCUAUAGUACUAUUGACAAACUGAGUUAGAGAAGGAUUGUACUGCUAUGCUGUUGGCACCAAACACCUUCAGGGAUUGGAGCUGCUUUUUUCCUUGGAGUAUUCCCAGUGAAGCUGAAAUAUACAGCACAGUGCAGCUUUGGUUCAUAUUCAGUCAUCUCAGGAGAACUUCAGAAGAGCUUGACUAGGCCAAAUACUGAAGUUAAGUUUUCAAAUAAUGGAACUUUUUAAGAUGCCUUUUAAAGGGGAGGGGCAAGUUUUGGCAAUUAGUUGGCAGUGGCCUGUUUUGGUUGGGGUGGGUGGGUUGGGUUUAGGUAAUUGUUUAGUUUAUGAUUUCAGAUAACUCAUGCCAGAGAACUUAAAUACUUAGGAUGGAAAAACUAAAGAAAUCUCACCUCCCAAGUUGGCAAGUAACUCCUGAUCCUCUAGUUUCUUGUUUUACCCCAAUUUUUGAACUGGACAGCUGGGAACUUCAAAGAUUCACUGGAUUUAAAGUGUAGGGCUUGGGAAAGGAAAGUGUUGGAUUGGGGGUUGGUCUAGCCCACUGGGUUGACCAAGAUAAAAACUUGGGGAAUUGUUUAAACACUAAAGUUGUUUGGAUAUGGUAGUGUGUGGUUCUCUUUUGGAAUUUUUUUCAGGUGAUUUAAUAAAACUUAAUACUACUAUAGGAGCUUCAGAGCAAAGGAAGUGGCUUAAUGAUCCUGAAGGGAUUUCUUCUGAUGGUAGCUUUUAUAUUAUCAAACUUUUUUCAGAUAACAUCUUCUGAGUCAUACCCAGCCUGGCAAUAUGAUGGCCUAGAUGGAGAGGGGAACAGCUCCUUGGUGAAUGAUAAGUAAAGGCAGAAAAGAUUAUAUUUCAUACCUAUCUUCAUUGGGCAAAAGCAUAACUCUGAAAUCCUUAACUACUGAUGAACACAUGGUCUGCAUAUGCAAAAAAAAAUUAAGCAAAUGAAAGCUACCAAUUUAAAGUUAAUGGAAUCUACUCUUUUAAAGUUAUGGCAUAUCAAGCUGUAUCCACAAAAAUAAUGAAUCAAUGAGAAAUAAAAUAAUGAAAUGAGAAAUACCAUGAAGAUCUAAUGCCCACCUCAAAAUACUGCUUUUACAAAAGCAGAAUAAAAAGUGAAAUGAAAUGAAAAUGAUAAAGCUACACAUUAACCCUGGAAUAAAAGAAGCUGAAAUAAUUGAAAGGAGUGGGAUCAAAUGGAUUGAGAGGAAGCUGUGCUGUUUGCCAAUCUUUCGUUUGCCUCAGACAGGUUUCUCAUUAUCAGAAGAGUUGCUUCAUUUCAUCUGGGAGCAGAAAACAGCAGGCAGCUGUUCACAGAUAAGUUUAACUUGCAUCUGCAGUAUUGCAUGUUAGGGAUAAGUGCUAUGUUUAAUAAGAGCUGUGGAGGUCCUAGGUCCCUUACUCAAGGGAUCUCAGGAUUUUGAGGAAUUUUCCCAUCCAGCCUUUUAAAAUGAGACAGGCCUUAUGCCUGUGGGCUUCCAUGAUGGGCUAGCUCACUUCACUCGAGGCAAGUAAUUCCUUAAAGCCUCUUGAGAUUAAUGCCUUAAUAAUCAAGGGUAAUGUUGAUAAAAUAAAAAUUUGUUUAGCAUUGACUCUUGGAAACCCUAUGAAAAGAUAGCAUAAUGUGCUGUUAACCAGAAUCAGAUAUGUUAACCUUGCUAAAAUUUAAAUGUUAUGUGUAUUGUGCAGAAAACCGUAAAAUCACUCAAAAUAAAAUACUUUAUUUAGCGAAUGUAUGCUUUUAGAAAGCUGUCUCCUUAUUUAAAUAAAAUAUUGUUUGUCUGUAGUUAGUGUUGGGCAAUCUUGGGGGGAUUCUUCUCAUCUUUCAGAGACUUUGUCUGCGAACACUCUGUAAUGGACAAGAUCAGGAAUUGAGCUGAAGAACGAAUUUAACUUAAGGCAGGAAAGACAAAUUUUAUCCUUCGUAAAAUUGAUGACCAUUUAAUAAUUCCAGGCACAUGGCCAUAGAGACCCUCUAAAUAAAUAAGGAAUAAAUACUUAUUAGGCAGGUGGGAGAUUAUGAUCAGAAGAACAGGUAACUACACCUAUGCAUUUUUCAGAAAGUCAGGAGUCUAAAUUGACAGUACUGAAGUAUAAUGCGGUCCACAUUUCCAAAGUUUGCAUGUUAAAAUUGAAAUGCUUAUCUCAUCUAGUGUUAGCCAAUGCUUUACACUUAUUAGCCUUUUAUAUAGACACUUGGUGGGGGGCAUGUGGGUUUUUUAAAGAACUUUCCUUUGCAGAGGCUUCGUUUCAUCCUUCAUGAGGCUGUUCAGGAUUUUGACUUGCAUAUAAACGCUUGGCUCUGCCUUCUGUUCUCCUAGUGGGUGUGUGAGACCUUGCAGUGAGUUUUCAGCAUACUCAAGUAAAAAUUUUUUCCCCCUGAUUAUUUUGGAGGGAAGGGAGGAGAGGGUGGGGCUUACUUGUUUAGCUUUUUUUUUGCAGACUACACAGAAUGCAGUUGUCUUGACCUCAGGUCUGUCUGUUCUGUUGGCAAGUAAUAAUGCAGUACUGUUCUGACCUGCUGCUAUUAGAAUGCAUUGUGAAACGACUGGAGUAUGAUUAAAAGUUAUGUUUCCCCCAAUGCUUGGAGUAGUGAUUGUUGAAGGAGAAUCCACUGAGUGAUAAAAGGCUGAGUGUUGAGGAAAUUUCUGCAGCUUUAAGCAUUCAUGUUUGUGAUUGAAGCAGUCCUUUUUGCUGUGCUUUAGGUAAAAUGCUUUUUUGUUCACUUCUGGUAGGGGGGGUGGGGAGGGCACUGAAGCCUUUAGUCUUUUCCAGAUGCAACUUUAAAAUCAGUGACAAGAAAUAAGUUCCAAACGAACAACAGACUUCAAGAAGUUUAACUGGCAAGUGGAAAUGUUUUAACCUCAGUUCAGUGGUCUUAGUGCAUUGUGUGUGCAGGUUUCUCUCUUCCCUCCCUUGGUCUCAAUUCUUAUACACAGGAACAUUCAGAACAACAGAUGAAGGGCCAGAGAAGCCAGACCCAGUAAGGAAAAAAAAAUAGUUCAUUUGCUUUUAAUAAACAAACCAAACAUUCCAUUUUAAAUGUGGGGAUUGGGAACCACUAGUUCUUUCAGAUGGUACUCUUCAGACUAGAAGGAGCUUCCAGUUGAAUUCACCAGGGGACAAAAUGAGGACAACAGGUGAACAAGCUUUUUCUAUGUUUACAUACCAAGUCAGAUCUGUUCCGGGUAAAUUAGUGUCAAAUGGCCUUUCAGCUUUAUGCUGGAAUAAACAGCAUGAGCAAGUUUGUUGGCCUGGGGGUGGAGGGGUGAGGUGGGCGCUAAGCCUUUUUUUAAGAUUUUUCAGGUACCCCUCAAUAAAGGCACCCGAAGGCUUAAAGUAGGACAACCCUGGCGCCUUCCUGUGGCAAGAGAGACAACAAAGCGCUAUUUAACUAAGGUCAAUCUAAGUGGUGUCGGCCUCACAACCCCACCUUCCGUUAGACAUGAGGACUUGCCUCAACUUGCCUCUGGGGAGUGAAGCAUCCAAAGGAAUGCCUGCGUACCUUGCGUACCCCGGGCCUGUGUGACGCCUCCCUGGGCUGUUUUUAGAGCAGCCCUUGAUGAAGCCCAGACCUCCUGAGUGGUGCUUGAAGGGGAGGGAAAGGGGGAAAGCGGGCAACCACUUCUCCCUAGCUUUUCCAGAAACCUGUUAAAAAGCAAGGUCUCCCCACAAGUGACUUCUCUGCCACAUCGCCACCCCCUGCCUUUGGCCUAGCGCAGACCCUUCACCCCUCACCUCGAUGCUGCCGGUAGCUUGGAUCCUUGUGGGCAUGAUCCAUAAGCAGUUUAAGGUAACUGGUGCCGAGGUCUUGGGUGGGUUGCACUGUUAGAAAAGACCGUUCAUUUGCCUGUAAACGUUUAAUGAUAUUAAGACCACAACUAAAAAGCUCUCCGAUGUUUUAAAUGUGUAGCAUUAUUUCUGUCCAGUGAUGAAAACAAACUUACUUGAACCAGUAAAUGAAGAAAUAACAUGUAAGAACUAUACUGUUGGGUGGGAAAGUAUAGCAAGCUGAAGGAGAUAGGCAUUUUAGCAGUUGAGGGCUGUUGGGUGGGAAUGCAAAAACUCUCUGCUAAGACUUUUUCAGGUGAACAUAACAGACUUGGCCAAGCUAGCAUCUUAGCUGAAGCAGAUUCUCCAGUGCUCUUCAGUAGGGUCUUAAAAUUUAAAGGUUUUUCUUUUCCUGAGAAAACAAAUUACUUUGUUUUCUCAGGUUUUGCUUUUUGGCCUUUACCUAGCUUUAAAAAAAAAAGCAAAAGAUGCUGGUGGUUGGCACUCCUGGCUUCCAGGACAGGGUUCAAAUCCCUGCGGCGUCUUUGCUUGACUUUUACCUCUGCCUUUCCGUUUUCCUCCUUUUUCUUCAGAUGAAAUUAGGGGAAGUGGAAGUAGCUUCGAACUAUACUAUACCUCUUGAUUGAAUUUGUUGUCCUAAACUGGUUUGUGUUUGUAUUUUCACAGGAAUCUAGUGUAAUUACUUUGCCCUUUUAAUUUUCAGGUAUCCCUCAUGCACCUGUUGUUUGGAGCAGUCUCACUAUUUUAAAAAAUAGAUGACAUAUUAAUAAAGGUUGAAAAACUUCA